UCUGGUAGUACGAGGCUUGGCAGUCAAUGGACAUCUUGCAACCGCGAUUUUGACAUAAACGAAGUGCUGUCUGUUUGCGCACCUUUCGAGCAGUAACCUGCGCUGUUUAUUGAAAGGGGGCCUCAGUUUUUGUCGUCUGCUGAACGUGGAUUUCUCGGCACAAAUCAACUUCAAUAAAUUAGACGACAGUGUAUAUAUUGAGUAACUGGUAUUUCAUUGGGGUGGACAAGGUCUGUGACUGUUGUCGUCGACAAGAACUGUCUGGCUUGCUGCAUUCUGGGUGUUCUGACCAUUACUAAUGGUCAUGUGAAGUACGGUAUAUGUUAGUCUGCUUGUUAAUGUGGCAGCUAUGGCAGAAUCUAACGUGUGGUUGUACUUAGAAAUGUGAGAGCGUUACCUGGGCCAUCAAGCUACAUCUGGUACUGAAAUGAUCCAGUUAGCCAAGCAUGGUGUUUGUCCUUUUGUUGGCUAUGUCACAUUACUGGUUGAUGACACUUGAAAGACACCAUGUAUUUGAGACAAUAGCAAAAUCAACAUGGUCCUUAAUACUUCUAAAAUGAUCUGUUGCCAGCCAGCUGACAGUUGUUUGGCUGAAAUUCUUUGUCAACAUUAUUAAUUAACAAUGAGUUGAUGUCUGCUACUUGUUAUGAGUUCAUUUGAAGCCAUGCUCUAAUUAG